CUUCACCGAGCCCAGCCACAACGGCCUGUCACCGGGACGAUCCUGCCCAUAGGUCGCCAACAGAGCCUGCGCCUC
rnacentral:antisense_RNA from 1 species